rnacentral:rRNA from 1 species
UACGUAGGGUCCAAGCGUUAAUCGGAAUUACUGGGCGUAAAGCGUGCGUAGGCGGUCUCGCAAGUCCGAUGUGAAAUCCCCGGGCUCAACCUGGGAACUGCGUUGGAAACUACGAGGCUAGAGUACGGCAGAGGGGGGUGGAAUUCCAGGUGUAGCAGUGAAAUGCGUAGAUAUCUGGAGGAACACCGAUGGCGAAGGCAGCCCCCUGGGUUAGCACUGACACUGAUACACGAAAGCGUGGGGAGCAAACAGG